rfam:Oryza sativa (indica cultivar-group) chromosome 9, whole genome shotgun sequence.
CGUCAGGGGAACAAGCUGCUAACUACUCCCUCCGUUUUGAUCGUUCAUCUUAUUUGAAAAAAUUUAUAAAAAAAUUAAAAGUUAAGUUGCGCAUAAAGUAUUAUUUAUAUUUUAUCAUCUAAUAACAAUAAAAUACUAAUCAUAAAAAUAUUUUAAAUAAAACGGAUGGUUAAAGUUGGACACUGAAAUCCACAACUGCGUUUAUU